ACUACGGGUGGCUGCAGUGAGGAAUAUUGGUCAAUGGGCGGAAGCCUGAACCAGCCAAGUAGCGUGCAGGAUGACGGCCCUACGGGUUGUAAACUGCUUUUAUACGGGAAUAACGCGCCUUACGUGUAGGGCUUUGCAUGUACCGUAUGAAUAAGGACCGGCUAAUUCCGUGCCAGCAGCCGCGGUAAUACGGAAGGUCCGGGCGUUAUCCGGAUUUAUUGGGUUUAAAGGGAGCGUAGGCGGCAUGUCAAGCGUGCUGUGAAAUGUCCGGGCUCAACCCGGGCCUUGCAGCGCGAACUGGCGUGCUUGAGUCCGCGGAAAGCAGGCGGAAUUCGUCGUGUAGCGGUGAAAUGCUUAGAUAUGACGAAGAACCCCGAUUGCGAAGGCAGCUUGCUGCAGCGGAACUGACGCUGAUGCUCGAAAGCGCGGGUAUCGAACAGGAUUAGAUACCCGUGUAGUC
rnacentral:rRNA from 1 species